rnacentral:rRNA from 1 species
UGAUUAGCUAGUUGGUAAGGUAACGGCUUACCAAGGCGACGAUCAGUAGCCGACCUGAGAGGGUGAUCGGCCACAUUGGAACUGAGACACGGUCCAAACUCCUACGGGAGGCAGCAGUGGGGAAUAUUGCACAAUGGGCGAAAGCCUGAUGCAGCAACGCCGCGUGAGUGAUGAAGGCCUUCGGGUCGUAAAACUCUGUCCUCAAGGAAGAUAAUGACGGUACUUGAGGAGGAAGCCCCGGCUAACUACGUGCCAGCAGCCGCGGUAAUACGUAGGGGGCUAGCGUUAUCCGGAUUUACUGGGCGUAAAGGGUGCGUAGGCGGUCUUUCAAGUCAGGAGUGAAAGGCUACGGCUCAACCGUAGUAAGCUCUUGAAACUGGGAGACUUGAGUGCAGGAGAGGAGAGUGGAAUUCCUAGUGUAGCGGUGAAAUGCGUAGAUAUUAGGAGGAACACCAGUUGCGAAGGCGGCUCUCUGGACUGUAACUGACGCUGAGGCACGAAAGCGUGGGGAGCAAACAGGAUUAGAUACCCUGGUAGUCCACGCUGUAAACGAUGAGUAC